UCCGUAGGCGGGCAAUUAAGUCAGGGGUGAAAGUUUGCGGCUCAACCGUAAAAUUGCCUUUGAAACUGGUUGUCUUGAAUUAUUGUGAAGUGGUUAGAAUAUGUAGUGUAGCGGUGAAAUGCAUAGAUAUUACAUAGAAUACCAAUUGCGAAGGCAGAUCACUAACAAUAUAUUGACGCUGAUGGACGAAAGCGUGGGGAGCGAACAGGAUUAGAUACCCUGGUAGUCC
rnacentral:rRNA from 1 species